rnacentral:lncRNA from 10 species
GGGAUCUACUAAAGGAUGUGCUCCUUAAAAAUGAGGGAGUAAGCCGAGAAAGAGGAAGAUGUGGGCUCUAGAAAAUGGAAUCCAAUGCAGCAAAAGGCAUCUGAAAAUCAGUGGAAAUCAUCGCCAACUCUCACUCCUCCCAAUUACCUCCUGGGUGGGCUGGAACCUGAGAAAUCUCAUCAGUAAAGCUCAACAGCGUUGCCGAAUGCAUUCUCCUCUUCAGGCUACAAGAGCUUUGGGGUUGCAUGCUGUCACUCAAGAUCAACCGUAAGGGGCUCACAGAGGUCCAGAGAGGCCUCAGUGCUCCCUGAUGUUGAUGCCCCCAAAACCAGUCCAAAUCUAAGCCAGGUGCUCGGACCCACAGCAGCGGUCAGGGCCCUGCAGCCGGGCAGAACGCUGCUCCUCUGCGAACCUAACAGGGACAGGCAGAAGAGUAGAUAGAUGCCCACCCUCCCCGAUCUCCAGCUGAGAUGCACAUUGGCCCAGAACAAGUGAGCUGCCUUGCAGAGCCACCACGAGAAGGAAGCCGAGGCAGGAACAGAAGUGUCUGCUGUCUAUGUGCUAACAUGCACACAGACUGUGCCCCAGUUUCUAGCCCCGAGUCACAGCGAGGCUUCUCUGAG